CUGUAGCCACGGUAAAACGAAGGGGGCUAGCGUUGUUCGGAAUUACUGGGCGUAAAGCGCACGUAGGCGGAUAUUUAAGUCAGGGGUGAAAUCCCGCAGCUCAACUGCGGAACUGCCUUUGAUACUGGGUAUCUUGAGUAUGGAAGAGGUUAGUGGAAUUGCGAGUGUAGAGGUGAAAUUCGUAGAUAUUCGCAGGAACACCAGUGGCGAAGGCGGCUAACUGGUCCGUAACUGACGCUGAGGUGCGAAAGCGUGGGGAGCAAACAGGAUUAGAUACCCCUGUAGUCCCUGUCUCUUAUAC
rnacentral:rRNA from 1 species